rnacentral:rRNA from 1 species
UACGUAGGGGGCAAGCGUUGUCCGGAUUUAUUGGGCGUAAAGAGCGUGUAGGCGGCCAGACAGGUCCGUUGUGAAAACUGGAGGCUCAACCUCCAGACGCCGAUGGAAACCGUCUGGCUAGAGUCCGGAAGAGGAGAGUGGAAUUCCGUGGUGUAGCGGUGAAAUGCGCAGAUAUCAGGAAGAACACCCGUGGCGAAGGCGGUCUCUGGGACGGUACUGACGCUGAGACGCGAAAGCGUGGGGAGCGAACAGG